rnacentral:lncRNA from 1 species
ACACCUAAUACUCAGAUUAAAAUCAAAUAGUUGCUAGAAAAGGAAAGAUACAUUCUUAUUAAAAUGUAAAGUUAAAAAAAAAAUAAGACAAACAAAUUGAAACGCAGGAAAUAAUUAGAAAGACAGUCCAGAUCAUCCCAUCCAAGAGGACCACCAACUUUGUUUUUUCUGUACUUCAUUGGUAACAAGAUUUCACAUAAAUUCCCAUCCUUGCCUUGUUCAAGUGCUACUGCAUGGAAUCACUAACUUCAAAAUUGAAAAAGAAAAACCCAUUUAGAGCUGGAAAUACAUUCAGUUAUCAUAGAUGAAUCAUUUCUCAGUCCAAAGUUUAAUUUUUAUUUCUAGCAGUCUGUAGAUGUGUUUGUUGUUUGUCUGUGUAAUUACUGUAAAUCAUUGUCCUCAGUUUUGUAUAGUAAUCUCCAAUUGGGUUGUCACAAAAAGAAUGUUACAUUAUAGAAACAAUUAAUAAUAUUCUCAAUUUUUUACUCUUAAUGAGAUGAUUUAUAGUCCCACGAGUUUCAAAAAUAUUAUUACUUCCCUUAACUUUAAUGUGAGACUUCCAUCUAUCAUUAAGAUAAUUUAUAACUGCUGGGCAUUUGGUCUAGUGGUAUGAUUCUCGCUUUGGGUGCGAGAGGUCCCGAGUUCGAUUCUCGGAAUGCCCCAAAACAAUUUUUUUAAGCAACUCUUUCCGAUCCACAAAUUCUGACAGCAAAUAUUCUUAUUCAAUACUCCCUCCAUUUCAAAUUAAUAUUUAAUACUCUCUCCAUUUCAAAUUAAUUAAAUUAUUGGAGUUUUUCACACCCUUUAAGAAAAGAUUAGGACAUAAAUUAGACAUUACUUUUCAUUUUUAUCCUUAUUAAUUAUUGUCAAAUUAAUCUUUAGAAUAACUAAACACUAAUCAUUAUAACUAAUUUCAAUACUAACUAAAUUUUUUGUUAAACUAUAUCAAUUGAGUCUUCAUCCAUAAUAGUAUCGUGAACUAUUUCAAUCGAAUCCUCAAAAUCAAAAUCCAUAAAAUCUACUAAUUCCCUUUAAAAUUUGGUGCAAAUGAAUAGUAUCGACUAACCGGGAAUUCAUCUUCAGAGCUAAGUCCCAAGGAGGCAGGUUGGAAUGUACAAUAUACUCCAGCGAUGGAGUAUUAAUUUGGCAAUAUAGUGAAGCGUUUCUAUUAUGAAAAUUUUAGCCACAUUAAUGUAAGAAAUUUUCAAGAAAAUAAUUCAAAGCAAUUAAAGUUUUUUGAAACUCAUCACAUAGAAAAUCCAAAUAAAGGGUAAAAAUGGAAAAAUAUUUUAAAAGUAAUCUCCAAGAUUGAACAAUUAAAUUAAUUUGAAAUAUUAAAUGUCUCAACAAUUCAAUUAUUUUAAAAUGGAGGGGGUAGUAGUUUCCAACUCUUUCCCAUCCAUAAAUUAUUGUUGAGACAUUUUUCAUAUUUCAAAUUAACUUAAUUGUUCAAUUUUCAAGACUACUUUUGAAAUAUUCUUCCUUUUUUACCCUUCAUUUGAAUUUUCUGUGUGAUGAGUUCAAGAAACGUUUAAAUGCUUUGAAUUAUUUUCUUGGAAAUUUCUUACAUUAAUGUGGUUGAGAUUUCAUUAAAAAAAACCUCUUCACUAUAUUGACAAAUUAAUAUUUCAUCGUUGGAGUUAUACUCUACUUGUCAUCUGCAUCAAAUUUAAAAGUGAAUUAGUAGAUUUUAUAGAUUUUGAUUUUAAAGAUUUGAUUGAAAUAGUUCACGAUACUAUCAAUGGAUGAAAACUCAAUUGAUAUAAUUCAAUAGAAAAUAUUUAGUCAUUUUUGUUAAGGUCUUACCUCCAAAAUUUUGGUUUCAACAAAAAAAAAAAAUUAGUCAUUUAACGAGUCGCAUAUUGAAUUUUGUAUAAAAAUUUAGUUAGUAUUGGAAUUAGUUAUUAUGAUUAAUGUUUAGUUAUUCUAAAGAUUAAUUUGAUAAUAACUAAUAAAGGUAAAAAUGAAAAGUAUGUCUAAUUUAUGUCCUAAUCUUCUAAAAUCAAAGGAUGUGAAAUACCCAACAAUUCAAUUAUUUUGAAAUGGAGGUAGCAGUUUCGAAAAACAAUCACAUUGAGGUUGAUGUUUUGGAAACUGCAGAAAGCUCACCAGGCAUUUAUGUAUUCAGUAAAAUUGGAUUUUAAAAACAACUUUUGAUGUAAUAACAGAAAAAGGCAACUUUCAUGUCAACAGUAAAUAACCUAGAGUUGAUUCUUUUAAUUCCUAUUCAGAAUGCUUCGUGAUUGUAGUCAACUAACUUUUCAGCCAAAUUUCAUUUUUAGUAUCUCAUCAUGUAAGAUGAGAUUCCUCUUACUCUCAAAACACUAGGUAAACUCAUCUGGAUCUAAGAGGACAAAAAUAAAAAUAAAACAUGGCUGAUUUGUGCUCACCUGCAACUUUACGGAGCUCUGAAAGUCCAAAAUCCAACAUAGAACUUCUAAGUGAUCCCUAAGACACAAAAGAAUUGAUAACCAGAAAAUGUAUGUUAUUGCAGUUUUAC